CGGGGGAGGGGGGGCGCGCUGAACGAAGCGGAGCAGUGAUGGAGGAGAGGCGAGAGAGCGAGCGCGUGGUGAAGAGAGAGAGAGAGAACGAGAGGGAUCUGCACACAGACGCGGACCGCUGAGUGCCGUUUCACUCCAGGCGAAGAGAUAGCCUCCUGCGUGGUGAAAGAGGGAAUCUGUGAUUUCUGGACUAAUAGAUAUCCUGCCAUUCCCGAGAAGAGAAAACACGAACGGAUAAUAAAGACGCACCGAAGUUCGGGAAGAAGGAGGUGACACUCACUGCGAAAUCUGGUUCAGUGAGAAAGAGAAACAGAGCGAAAGGGAGAACGAGAGAGAGAGUGUGUGUGAGAGAGAGAAACAGAAACGAGGAAGAGAAGCGGGCCGUGUUUUGAGGGUUUGCAGGGGAGUCUCUUCUCUCCUUGGGGCCUCGAAGAGGCGGCCAGCGACAGGAGGCGCGGGAGAGAGGACCACCCUCCCAGCAGGGACCAUGUACCCCCACGGUCGACCACAGGCUCCGUUGCUGCCUGGCCAGCACACUAAGUUCACUGUGCUUGAGACGCUGGAUCGCAUCAAGGAGGAGUUCCAGCUCUUCCAGGCCCAGUACCACAGCCUGAAGAUGGAGUACGAGAAGCUGGCCAGUGAGAAGACGGAGAUGCAGAGGCACUCCAUCAUGUACUAUGAGAUGUCGUAUGGACUGAACAUUGAGAUGCAAAAACAGGCGGAGAUUGUGAAGAGGCUCACUGCUAUUUGUACUCAGAUCAUCCCGUUUCUGUCUCAGGAGCACCAGCAUCAGGUAGCUCAGGCAGUGGAGCGCUCCAAGCACGUCAGUAUGGCUGAGCUUAAUGCUAUUAUUGGGCAGCAGCAGCUCCAACAUCUAUCCCAUCAUGCAUCUGGCUUCCCCCUGAUGCCCCACCCCUCGGGGCUCUCUUUGGGGGCGGGUUCAGGACUUGGGGCCCUUCCCGCUGCGCUGGGAUUCGCUGGACCCCUUAUGGCUAAAGAUGACCCCUCCCACAGCCACCCUGAUGAAAUGAGAGAUGGAACCUCAAGUCGGAGUAAGUCAGCAUCCCCGCUGCACAGUCCCCUGGAUGAUCGGCAGUUAGCAUCGCUGGCCGCUCAGAGGGAAGCCGUGCGCAGCCGAGCUGAGGAGAGAACCAUGGCUCCAGCACACAGUGACGAUGAGGGAGACAGGAGUGAGGUGGACGUUGGCAUGAGCUCAGAGGGCCAGAGACCUCGCCCCGGGGUGCCCUCCUCCCCCCCAGAUGGGAACGGGCUGGGGGGGCCAUUGUCGCCCAGGAGGGUUCGUCCCAGAGGUAGCAGCCCCUCUGCAUCCAGCCAAUCACAGUCCCCCACCGCGGGGAACAGCACCCACCUGGGACAGGUAGGGGCACGAUCACCCUCUCCCCCACGCCGGGUGUCCCUGACUCCAGGAUCUCCUCUUCAUCCUCCUCCUCAUCCUCUCCCCUCCUCCCGCUCGACACGUACUCCGCCCCCCACCUCCCUCUAGAUGUCUGAGGAAGGCAGAGGGUAGAAGCUGCUUGUCCAUCAAUCACCUCUCUCUCUGCAUGUGUGUGUGUGUGUGUGUGUCUGUGUGUCUGUGUGCGCGAGUAUGAUUGUGUGUGUGUGUGGGUGUUUGUGUAUGUGUCUGUGCAAGGGGGAUGGCUCUGGUGCCUUUCUGCAGUGUCCUCACUCUCUAAAACUCUCAGUUCAAACGCAUCAAACACACGCGUGCGCACACACACAUACUUUCUUUCCCUCUCUCUCUUCUUUCCGCACUCUCUCUCUGUCUUUCUUUCUCUGUCUUUCUUUCUCUGUCUCUCUCUCUCUCUCUCUCACACACAAACGCGCACACACACACACACACACACACACACACACACACACACACACACACACAAAGCAAAAGACAGAUCACAGAUGCUACAGCAGGGACGCACACACACAAACACACACACACACACACACACACUCACAAAAGCUAAGGCAUCAGAGCACUUCUCGGGAGGCUGUUUGCAAAGAUGUCACCAAACUCCUUCAAUCAUGUUCCAAGCCCCUGCUGUCUCUUCCUGAAAGUUCCUCCCUGAUGGACCAAUCGGGUCAGAGGUCACUCCCUUCACUGAGACCAUCCACGCAAUGCCCCUCCUCUCUGUGGCUGUUGGAUAAUCUUUCACCAAUCAGCAUAGACCACUGUGUAAGGACAAGCGUCGGUGGGGCUACUGGCGAAACCGCCCUACUUCAACACUGUUUGUAUUUUUCUCUUGCUACUCUGCACGAAGCACAGCGGGGAGAGGACCUAAACAAACUAUUUAUAUUUUCCUCUGGAUUGAGAGACCCAGACGUGUGGGGUUUACUUCAAGUGGCCACUGAAGCUUGGUUCACACAGCAAACUCAAAAGGAGAGUUUUCACUCACUGACCCCGAUUCAGCUAGUAUGGAUGGGAUGCUCUCUCAUGCACAGCCAUAACACCUUACUGCUGUCAACAGCUCCAUCUUUUGUGGUCUAGUGUUCUUUCUCUCUGAUGAUACUCAUAGUGCUGUUCUUUAGCGGUUUCCUAAUUGGUUUCAGUGUUGAUUUGACAAUAAAGAACAUGGGACUUGG